rnacentral:rRNA from 1 species
UACGGGGGGAGCAAGCGUUGUUCGGAUUUACUGGGCGUAAAGGGCGCGUAGGCGGCGCGACAAGUCACUUGUGAAAUCUCCGGGCUUAACCCGGAGCGGCCAAGUGAUACUGUCGUGCUAGAGUGCGGAAGGGGCUACUGGAAUUCUCGGUGUAGCGGUGAAAUGCGUAGAUAUCGAGAGGAACACCUGCGGCGAAGGCGGGUAGCUGGGCCGACACUGACGCUGAGGCGCGAAAGCCAGGGGAGCGAACGGG